CUCCUACGGGAGGCAGCAGUGGGGAAUAUUGGACAAUGGACCGAGAGUCUGAUCCAGCAAUUCUGUGUGCACGAUGAAGUUUUUCGGAAUGUAAAGUGCUUUCAGUUGGGAAGAAAGAAAUGACGGUACCAACAGAAGAAGUGACGGCUAAAUACGUGCCAGCAGCCGCGGUAAUACGUAUGUCACGAGCGUUAUCCGGAUUUAUUGGGCGUAAAGCGCGUCUAGGUGGUUAUGUAAGUCUGAUGUGAAAAUGCAGGGCUCAACUCUGUAUUGCGUUGGAAACUGUAUAACUAGAGUACUGGAGAGGUAAGCGGAACUACAAGUGUAGAGGUGAAAUUCGUAGAUAUUUGUAGGAAUGCCGAUGGGGAAGCCAGCUUACUGGACAGAUACUGACGCUAAAGCGCGAAAGCGUGGGUAGCAAACAGGAUUAGAUACCCUGGUAGUCCACGCUGUAAACGAUGAUUACUAGGUGUUGGGGGUCGAACCUCAGCGCCCAAGCAAACGCGAUAAGUAAUCCGCCUGGGGAGUACGUACGCAAGUAUGAAACUCAAAGGAAUUGACGGGGGCCCGCACAAG
rnacentral:rRNA from 1 species